rnacentral:rRNA from 1 species
AUUGCAGGCUGNAACCCGCCCUGCAUGAAGUCGGAAUUGCUAGUAAUCGCGGAUCAGCAUGCCGCGGUGAAUACGUUCCCGGGCCUUGUACACACCGCCCGUCACACCAUGGGAGCCGGUAAUACCCGAAGUCAGUAGUCCAACCUCGUGAGGACGCUGCCGAAGGUAGGAUUGGCGACUGGGGUGAAGUCGUAACAAGGUACC